UCUGGACUAAAUAUGUGAUUGAACCCAGUUAAGCCUUCUAUAUAAACUUCUAAGAGUCUGGCAGGCGGGUGCAGAGAUCUGCUCAUCUGGAGGCCACCCAAGCCAAGCCUCGGAUGAACUGGAUAACCUUGGGAGGGGCAGUCCCUCCGCGGUCAGCAAGGCUCCAGAUGUCAAAGCAUCAGGAUACAAAAAAAUAAAAGAUGGGGAAAUUGAGUCCCAGAAAAUGAAGAAGACAUGAAGGAUCUAUUGCCUUGAAUUCCAUUAUGAAAGCAGGUAUAUUCAGGGUCCAACUUCUUGGCUGACUCCAAGCCUUUAAAUCAGAGAUGAAUGCAUUGGGCUGAGCCAUACUUGGUUUUAAGAUCUUCAGCCUCUGCUCUACAUGCAGGAUGUGUGGGAAGUGCCAGAGAAAGAUUCUUUCCGACCCCGUAAUUGGAGCACAGGAAGAUCAGCACUGGGAGUGGUCAAGGGCUUCGGCUUUGUACAGAUGGGGAAACUGAAACACACAAAAAGCCAUCCCUGCUCCUGGAACUGGACUUUCCUGACUCCAUGGCCAGGGACCUUUCUGCUGCACUGCAUUCCAAUGGCACUUGUCAUGUUUCUCUACAAUUCUCACAGUUUCAAAAAAGACUUUUUAAAAAUUAAAUUGUUAUCUCUACUACACUAAGUAAUGUAUUUUUAUUUUAGAGAUCUUGUGUGUGUGUGUGUGUGUGUGUGUGUGUGUGUGUGUGUGUUAUGCUAUACCAUUGCAAACGUCCCACCCUUUUUUUUCGAUAGCAAUUUGGUAUGAAUUAAUAUCUGUAAACAAACAAAAGACAUAUAUGCUAUCUCCAAAACUAAUGAUUCAGAAGGUACUUCAAGGGUGCCAUAUAUAUAAUUCUAAAUAUCAAUAUUUAUUAUUAUUGUUAAACUAUUGACAGAAAUAUCACAAUUAAAUGGAUUUUCUGAUUAAUAUAAUUUAAAUAAAUAAUUUACGUAUGACAGUUUUAUCUGGGCUCUAUUGAUCGUUUUGUUCUUCGUUUUUGAUUCUGCUGGAUGCAUACUAUUUCUUAUAAUAUGCCCAUAGACUGUAUAUCAAAAUGUUAAAGAAGACUCUAGAAAAACAGGUCAUUUAUGGCAGAGAUGCAUUUGAAAUAAUGCUUUUAUCAUUUAAAUCUAACCACACUGCUUUUCAAAAUAAGUGGUAACUCAUAGAUGUUACAAUUGUGACUAACUUGUUUGACCAUUCACUUACACAGCUGUAAGUAUAGCUGUUCAGUCAGAGUGAAUCCUGUUAAAAAUUAACUUGUCUCCCUAAUUUCUUAACCCAAAUAUAGAGAUCAGUAACUUCUUACUGUACUCAUGUUCCUGCCUGUAAUCCUACCAUGUAUAUGAUUGUAUCAUCAUUGUCUUAUGGGUUGAAUCUUUAUCA